UUGGAGGGCAAGUCUGGUGCCCGCAGCCGCGGUAAUUCCAGCUCCAAUAGCGUAUAUUAAAGUUGUUGCAGUUAAAAAGCUCGUAGUUGAAUUUCGGGACCAAUUUGUUGGUCGUGCCUCGGUACGUACUGGUAUUAUUGGUUUCUCCCUUCUGAAGAACCUUGAUGUCAUUAAUUUGGUGUCUUGGGGAAUCAGGACUGUUACUUUGAAAAAAUUAGAGUGUUUAAAGCAGGCAUACGCUUGAAUACAUUAGCGUGGAAUAAUGAAAUAGGACGUUUGAUUCUAUUUUGUUGGUUUCUAGGAUCGACGUAAUGAUUAAUAGGGAUAGUUGGGGGCAUUAGUGUUCAAUUGUCAGAGGUGAAAUUCUUGGAUUUAUUGGAGACUAACUACUGCGAAAGCAUUUGCCAAGGAUGUUUUCAUUAAUCAGGAACGAAAGUUAGGGGAUCGAAGACGAUCAGAUACCGUCGUAGUCUUAACCAUAAACUAUGCCGACUAGGGAUCGGAUGAUGUUAAUUUUUUAAUGACUCAUUCGGCGCCUUACGGGAAAC
rnacentral:rRNA from 1 species